AGGAGAUCCCUGCCUACCUGAGGCCUUCCAAAGGGAACAGUCCCAGUGGGGCUGCUCUGCCACCUGGGCGAGGAGCCAAUGACCUGAGUGAUUCUGCAGCCUCGUAACCCAAAUGUUUUUCCACCAGUGAAGAGAGGAAGCAGGGGGCUGCUUCAAUUAAUGCUGUGCAGUGGGGAUAAGUGAUGCAUUUAAAGGAUUAACUCUUCCUUUUCCUUCGCCUAUCCUCUCUUUAGCAUGACAGCCAACAGAGAGUGUGAUAGAGCAAUCUCUAUCUUGUAUGUGACCACAAGAGAUUAAUUAAACAGUAAGCCCUAAUUACCGAGGCUAAGGCUGACCGACUUACCGUGCCUUGUAAAAUAGCUGAAUACUUAAUUUACGCUCCAGUGUGGACAUAACUUUCACCAUUAGCUGAAUAAACAACGAGCACCCAAGCUAAGCGGACCGCUUCCCUAAUAGAUGCACCAUUAUAAAUGGAGCUCUCCGUUGGUGUGGGCUCACUGGGGCUGCCUCCCAGCUACAAAGGGUUUUCGUGGGAAGGGGGAGCUGCUUUGCAGUGCGCCAACCUGCCCUAAGCCUGGGGGAUUCCCUCUCUGUCAGUACUCUUCAGCUUUCAGGCUGCUUAUCAAAGCCGUCAUCAUUUGCAUUUCACUGCAGGUUUGGGGGGAGAAAAAAAGGGAAGAUACCGAAAGGCAUAAAACAAAACCAAGCCCCAACUCCCAGUGCAAUGCGGUGGAAGUAGGGCACAUAGCUCCUUUUCUCUUUAUUUUUUUUCUCCCUUUCAAUAUCUGCCAUAAUAACAGUAAUAGAUUCUGAGAAGUGCAAGUUAAUCUGUAGCUCCAGAGCUUUUUAUUGUGUUUCUCCCUUUUUGUGCGUGUUAACCUUUCAAAU
rnacentral:lncRNA from 1 species